UAGUCACGCUGUAAACGAUGUCGAUUUGGAGUUUGGGGGCAUGACCCUUGGGCUCCGGAGCUAACGCGUUGAAUCGACCGCUGGGGAGUACGGCCGCAAGGUUAAAACUCAAAUGAAUUGACGGGGGCCCGCACAAGCGGUGGAGCAUGUGGUUUAAUUCGAUGCAACGCGAAGAACCUUACCUGGUCUUGACAUCCAUAGAAUCUUUCAGAGAUGAGAGAGUGCCUUCGGGAGCUAUGAGACAGGUGCUGCAUGGCUGUCGUCAGCUCGUGUUGUGAAAUGUUGGGUUAAGUCCCGCAACGAGCGCAACCCCUAUCCUUUGUUGCCAGCACGUAAUGGUGGGAACUCAAAGGAGACUGCCGUUGAUAAAGCGGAGGAAGGUGGGGACGACGUCAAGUCAUCAUGGCCCUUACGACCAGGGCUACACACGUGCUACAAUGGCGUAUACAAAGGGAUGCGAAGGUGCGAACUGGAGCGGACCUCACAAAGUACGUCUAAGUCCGGAUUGGAGUCUGCAACUCGACUCCAUGAAGUCGGAAUCGCUAGUAAUCGUGAAUCAGAAUGUCACGGUGAAUACGUUCCCGGGCCUUGUACACACCGCCCGUCACACCAUGGGAGUGGGUUGCACCAGAAGUAGAUAGCUUAACCUUCGGGAGGGCGUUUACCACGGUGUGGUUCAUGACUGGGGUGAAGUCGUAACAAGGUAACCA
rnacentral:rRNA from 1 species